CAGUAAACGGUGCACGCUUGGUGUGAGGGGAAUCGACCCCCCUUGUGCCGGAGCAAACGCGUUAAGCGUGCCGCCUGGGAAGUACGGUCGCAAGACUAAAACUCAAAGAAAUUGACGGGGACCCGCACAAGCGGUGGAGUAUGUGGCUUAAUUCGAUGCAACGCGAAGAACCUUACCAAGGCUUGACAUGGAUUUCUAAGCACGUGAAAGCGUGUGACCCUUCGGGGGACUUCCACAGGUGCUGCAUGGCCGUCGUCAGCUCGUGUCGUGAGAUGUUGGGUUAAGUCCCGCAACGAGCGCAACCCUUGUGACUAGUUGCCAGCGGGUAAUGCCGGGAACUCUAGUCAGACUGCCCAGAUCAACUGGGAGGAAGGUGGGGACGACGUCAGGUCAGUAUGGCCCUUACGCCUUGGGCUGCACACGUACUACAAUGCCCAGUACAAUGAGAACCGAGACCGCGAGGUGGAGGAAAUCUGCAAAACUGGGCCCAGUUCGGAUUGGAGGCUGCAACUCGCCUCCAUGAAGUUGGAAUCGCUAGUAAUGGCGCAUCAUCUACGGCGCCGUGAAUACGUUCCCGGGUCUUGUACACACCGCCCGUCACAUCAUGGAAGCCGGUCGCACCCGAAGUGCCCGUGCCAACCGCAAGGGGGCAGGGUCCUAAGGUGUAGCUGGUAACUGGGAUGAAGUCGUAACAAGGUAACC
rnacentral:rRNA from 1 species